rnacentral:tRNA from 1 species
CGGGUCGUAGCUCAAGGGCAGAACAGGCUUUUACCCCGUCGGCGAGAGUUCGAUCCUCUCCGGCCCGACCA